rnacentral:lncRNA from 1 species
GUCCUAACAUGAGCAAAGUCGAAGGCUCGGUUAUUUAGAGAUCAGAUGGAGGGAGAGGCCCUUGCAACGGCCCUUACGUGCCCCCACAGUCCUGUUAGGAACAGGAGUAGAAUCUCGUCCUAACAGGAGCUGAAAUCGACUGCGUCGGGAACAGGAGGAGAACCUCAUCCUGACAUAAAUGAAGACCCAGUCAUUCAAGACCAGA